rnacentral:rRNA from 1 species
CCAAUAGCGUAUAUUAAAGUUGUUGCAGUUAAAAAGCUCGUAGUUGAACUUCGGGGUUCACCCAUUGGUCAGGCUUAAUUGUCUGCACUGGUGAGAUGAGUCUCUACCUUCUGAGGAACUUUCAUGCCAUUGAUUUGGUGUGAUGGGAAAUCAGGACUGUUACUUUGAAAAAAUUAGAGUGUUUAAAGCAGGCUAACGUCUGAAGACAUUAGCAUGGAAUAAUGGAGUAGGACGGACUGAUUCUAUUUCGUUGGUUUCUAGGAUCACCGUAAUGAUUAAUAGGGAUAGUUGGGGGCAUUAGUAUUCAAUUGUCAGAGGUGAAAUUCUUGGAUUUAUUGAAGACUAACUACUGCGAAAGCAUUUGCCAAGGAUGUUUUCAUUAAUCAAGAACGAAAGUUAGGGGAUCGAAGACGAUCAGAUACCGUCGUAGUCUUAACCAUAAACUAUGCCGACUAGGGAUCGGGCGAAGUUAAUUUUAUAAUGACGCGUCCGGCACCUUACG